AGUGAACGCUGGCGGUAGGCCUAACACAUGCAAGUCGAACGGCAGCACAGUAAGAGCUUGCUCUUACGGGUGGCGAGUGGCGGACGGGUGAGGAAUACAUCGGAAUCUACUUUUUCGUGGGGGAUAACGUAGGGAAACUUACGCUAAUACCGCAUACGACCUACGGGUGAAAGCAGGGGAUCUUCGGACCUUUCGCGAUUGAAUGAGCCGAUGUCGGAUUAGCUAGUUGGCGGGGUAAAGGCCCACCAAGGCGACGAUCCGUAGCUGGUGUGAGAGGAUGGUCAGCCACACUGGAACUGAGACACGGUCCAGACUCCUACGGGAGGCAGCAGUGGGGAAUAUUGGACAAUGGGCGCAAGCCUGAUCCAGCCAUACCGCGUGGGUGAAGAAGGCCUUCGGGUUGUAAAGCCCUUUUGUUGGGAAAGAAAAGCAGCAGGUUAAUACCCCGCUGUUCUGACGGUACCCAAAGAAUAAGCACCGGCUAACUUCGUG
rnacentral:rRNA from 1 species